GAUGAACGCUGGCGGCGUGCCUAAUACAUGCAAGUCGAGCGAACAGACGAGGAGCUUGCUCCUCUGACGUUAGCGGCUGACGGGUGAGUAACACGUGGAUAACCUUCCUAUAAGACUGGGAUAACUUCGGGAAACCGGAGCUAAUACCGGAUAAUAUAUUGAACCGCAGGGAUCAAUAGUGAAAGGCGGUUUUGCUGUCACAUAUAGAUGGAUCCGCGCCGCAUUAGCUAGUUGGUAAGGUAACGGCUUACCAAGGCAACGAUGCGUAGCCGACCUGAGAGGGUGAUCGGCCACACUGGAACUGAGACACGGUCCAGACUCCUACGGGAGGCAGCAGUAGGGAAUCUUCCGCAAUGGGCGAAAGCCUGACGGAGCAACGCCGCGUGAGUGAUGAAGGUCUUCGGAUCGUAAAGCUCUGUUAUUAGGGAAGAACAAAUGUGUAAGUAACUAUGCACGUCUUGACGGUACCUAAUCAGAAAGCCACGGCUAACUACGUG
rnacentral:rRNA from 1 species